rnacentral:tRNA from 1 species
GAGGGUAUAGCUCAAUGGUAGAGUGCGUGCUUAGCAUGCAUGAGGUCCUGGGUUCAAUUCCCAGCACAUCUA